GUUUUUCCUCCUAGUUCUUCCGGUCCUAGUUUCUGUCCCAGAGGAAAAGAAUCAGUGGAGAUAUAGCUGAAACCAAAAUAAGAUGUCCCCCACAAGAAAUAUGUGAGUUAUUUAUUAAAAUUGGCUGUAUUCCCAUGUCUGUUUCUUCCCCGGUGUCAAGCCUGUAUCCUAGGCAGGCAGAGUUGUUGAGGAUGCCAAGGGCACUCCACUUAAUAGGGUCCUGGAUUACCUGGAUGGUGCGAAGAAUUCUGUCUCAAAAGAUGACUCCCAUCAAUGCAUUGCUGAUCAGUGAUGAACAAUCGAAUUGAUGAAUUAACUGAGUAGUGUAAAGGUUUCUUUUUGGACAUCAGUUGGCCAACAAUUGAACUCUCUUGCUCAUCUUUGUUUUAUUUAUUUCCAGGCCGCUGAAGUUGUACGGCUUCAUAAGUGUGACAGGCAGCAACGAUGUUAGCUUUUGAUCCAAACACUGGUGAAUUAUGUGGGAAGGUCCAUCUGUUGUUGUACUUUUAUCAGAAGCACUACAGAGCCCAAAAGUUUUGAUCUAGACUCAAAUUGCAUGAGAAUGCUUUAGCCUCAUUGCAUUGAGUUGGUACUCAGAGAAAGGUCAUUUUCUUUAGGUAAAAAGUUUUGGGGGUUUUUUAACUGCUAGAAACAACCUAAACAACCUCUUCCAACUGUUAAAGGUCAGAGUCUCUAAUAAGGCCCAGUCAGUCCUCACUGACCUGCUCACCCUUUGUUAAAUAAGUUAAGGUUGCUUUGAACUCAUUUGUCCCUUAUUUGUGUCGUUUUAAAUGAAGUGAUGCAGCUUUAUUUGUUUUGCGUGACUUGUUUGUGUGUUGACUGUUGGUGAUAACUGUGCAACAAGUUGCUCCUCAGAGAUAAUAAAAAUGACUUUGACCUUUAAUGAAA